GAUGAAGAACGUAGCAAAAUGCGAUAAGUAAUGUGAAUUGCAGAAUUCAGUGAAUCAUCGUAUCUUUGAACGCACAUUGCGCCCGCCAGUAUUCUGGCGGGCAUGCCUGUUCGAGCGUCAUUUCAACCCUCAAGCACAGCUUGGUGUUGGGACUCGCGUUAAUUCGCGUUCCUCAAAUUGAUUGGCGGUCACGUCGAGCUUCCAUAGCGUAGUAGUAAAACCCUCGUUACUGGUAAUCGUCGCGGCCACGCCGUUAAACCCCAACUUCUGAAUGUUGACCUCGGAUCAGGUAGGAAUACCCGCUGAACUUAAGCAUAUCAAUAAGCGGAGGA
rnacentral:misc_RNA from 1 species